AAGUUUUGGAAUAUGACUAACAAGAUCGUAUAAUACUGGAGCAUUUUCCACGUAUAAGUAUUUGUAUAUAUAUAAUACUCAUGGUAUCACAGAGAAUAUAGUCAUACUAGAACUUUUACAUUUACUCUUAAGUUGAACGCAGAGGUAAAGUCAUUCUAGUUUCACGUGAGUGGAAUGACUCAUUACGGGUCAUUUGUCCGUGUGAAAAAUAAAGCACGUGAAUGGGAUGCUGACGACACAGAGAGUGCAUCACUUAGUCUAGUAGAGGCUGUAUAGAUAAGUGGACUUCUUGCUUGCUCGUGGGUAUCCGCCACAUAUGGUGACAGCUAGUGUGAUGAAAGCGGCUGAAAGAAAGUUUGAACAAGGCUUUACUAAGUGAUUAAGAGAAAAAUUCAAUAAACAACAGGCAUUUUGGAUAUAAAAGAUCGAUGACGGAAAAAGUGGAAAACCGAAUCUUGAUAUAUUGAAAAGUAGAUAAGGACAGAGCCAUAAAUUAAACAUAUAAUGACGAUUUGCAUGUUUUGUUUAAAAAAAAAAAAGGAUGACCAAAAGAGGAUAAAAAAUAGAAGAAAAAAUUCUUCUUGAUUAAGUAAUGAUUCAUAAACAUUACUCAGUAUGGCGCUUUAUAAUUACGGGAUUCAGAUGUGUUGCAUACUUAUAUGUCAAAUGGGAAAAAAAUUAUAGUGUUCUUAUCCUCCAACAUAUGAUUUAGAGUUUGUGAUAAAUGUUUGGAGUGUUUCAUAUUUUGUCUGUGGUGAACAGAGAUCAGCUUAUUCCAAGUGAUCUUAAACCAAUCUCUCUGAAUGGUUUAAGGCAUAUAUCGUUCGCGGCCAUGUGGAAAUUUACCCGGGAAAUUACAGCAAAUGGGUUCUGUACAUCUUCUAUUUCUUAAACGCAUGACUGUUAUUCAUAGGGGCACCGACAAACAAGAACUCUACGCGAUCGAGUGGAAUAACACGUCGCAUUUUAUGAGUUUACGAAUCUUUUAAAAUCUGCUUUCAUAUGCAAUGUUAAGCUUAUCAUAUGCAAGUUUGAAUAAUAAAUAAUUUUUACAUUG
rnacentral:sRNA from 1 species